UAUAAUAAAAAGAGCGGGUUAGAUGUUAAUAUGAUUGACAGUACAAUGAGACAUGCAGCUGUAGUGGAAAUGAGUGUCACUUUUCACUGGAAGGUAUUUUUAAACCAAGUUCAUGUCUUGAGGUGUGAUGAUGGUGAAUCACAUAAGUGUUUUUCAAAAGAUGAUUUAGAGAUAUGAGAAUUGGAAUGCUCUCACCCAAUAUUAUUACACUAGUGAUGGAAGAACAGGACAAUGGACUCACGAAUGGGCACAACCACCACCAUCUGCUGCUAAACAACUACGUAUAUUUCUUGUAAGUGGUGACAAAGACCUUAUAAAGGAAGUACAAGAAGUACUACGAGAAUUAAUAAGUGAUGAACAACUUAUUCCAGGGGAUAUCUAUGCUGAUGAAGAGAAUUACAUUUUGAUGCCACAAGUCUGACCACUUAAAAAAGAAGCAACAGAACUCAAAGAAGAAGUAGCAAGUGCAUUAGCAACAGUUUAAAAAUUUAGAUCUACAUAUGAUUAAUAGUCUACACUGUAGUUAUUGUAGUUAAUAUAUACGUACACGUAAUGCUAAAGCUGACAGUAGUAUAGUUUGUACUAUCAU